UUUAAGCUAGGUGCCCAAAGGGGGGUAACAAAGAUUCUAAGAGUUCUAGGAUUAUAAGGAGUUACAAAGAUACUAAGAGUUCUAGGUUUAUAAGGAGUUACAAAGAUACUAAGAGUUCUAGGUUUAUAAGGAGUUACAAAGAUAAAGAGUAUUCCAGGUUUCAGAAGAAGUGGUCUUACCGUUAUGCUAUAGGAAUCUGUUACACGCAAAGUUUGUUGUAGUUUAUUAAUGAAAUAAAGCUGUUUAUGCUUUAUUUCUAUAUGAAAUACGAAUUAACUUUUUUUUUUGCUAUGAUUAUUACAUUUUUUAGGCUAUAGAACACCUCGUGCGACCGACACAUGCUUUAACUGUGGAUUCACUGGAGUUGAUAAUGUAGAUACUAUUGUAGGGCCUAUGAUGACGGAGGAGGCAGAUUUUGAGGAGCAGGCAAAUAAAGAGCCAGAUGGUUUGUGCAACAGUGAGACAGGUAGAACAUUCACAUAUUAACGAAGGGGAACUUAACAGCGAACGGCAGUACUACGAAAAUUUAGCCUUUAAUAAAAGAAUAGAAACACCGGACUCUAAAGUGUUUCCUAUUGAUAAGGAUGGAUACAAGAAUCCUUUUUGAAAACAAAAAGGACAAAAAAGUACUUUAUCGUGAAAAAUAAAACUUUCGACCAUUUAA